rnacentral:lncRNA from 1 species
UGAUUUUCUAUGUGAGCGGUUAUUGUUCAGACAUGUGAUUUUGAUGACUAUUUAAUAUUCUAUUCUAUGGUUAGUUCACCAAUUCCUUAAAUACAACCCAGCGGGAAAAGCAUGGAGGGUCCUCAGCUCCCAAGUCUGAGUACUGCUAAGUCAGAGCUGGGGUUUCUUCCGAGCCUGUUUCUUGGUGUGGGUCAGUUGGCAGUGGGGCUGCUUUCUGUUCUGGGAUUUCUCCAUCCCUGGUACAGGGGGCAGGCCUGAUUCUCAGUGUUCACAGUCACCAGCUCACUUCCUUUGACUCAUUUCCUUUGACCUGGAAGAGCUGACCAUUUUUUCCUGAGCUCUUGCUGAACUCCCACUGUCUCUGGACAUCUACUGGUGGGUCCCCAGCAGUGUUUGAAUGGGAAAUCAAGAGGUGAGAGAAUCCUGCUGUCCUGGUUGUGCAUAGACAAGUAGUUGCUUAGAUACAUUAAGAAACUGCAACGUAUUUUAUCUGUGCAGCUGCCUGUCUCUCCCACCGAACUGUAACCAUCCUUUA